ACAGGUGCUGCAUGGCUGUCGUCAGCUCGUGUUGUGAAAUGUUGGGUUAAGUCCCGCAACGAGCGCAACCCUUAUCCUUUGUUGCCAGCGAUUCGGUCGGGAACUCAAAGGAGACUGCCGGUGAUAAACCGGAGGAAGGUGGGGAUGACGUCAAGUCAUCAUGGCCCUUACGAGUAGGGCUACACACGUGCUACAAUGGCGCAUACAAAGAGAAGCGACCUCGCGAGAGCAAGCGGACCUCACAAAGUGCGUCGUAGUCCGGAUCGGAGUCUGCAACUCGACUCCGUGAAGUCGGAAUCGCUAGUAAUCG
rnacentral:rRNA from 1 species